rnacentral:rRNA from 1 species
UACGGGGGGGGCAAGCGUUGUUCGGAAUUACUGGGCGUAAAGGGCGCGUAGGCGGCCACCUCAGUCGAACGUGAAAUCCCUCGGCUUAACCGGGGAACUGCGUCCGAUACCAGGUGGCUGGAAUCCGGGAGAGGGAUGCGGAAUUCCAGGUGUAGCGGUGAAAUGCGUAGAUAUCUGGAGGAACACCGGUGGCGAAGGCGGCAUCCUGGACCGGCAUUGACGCUGAGGCGCGAAAGCCAGGGGGGCAAACGGG